AUUGGUGAGGGUUGUGUUAUUAAGGUAAGUUCUUGGUCUGAAAGCUUGGCAAAAGGUCUUUUAGUUGGCUCUAGGCAAUACUGUUUCUCUGUAGUAUAUCCUAGCCCCUUUAUCUCUUCCAUUUGAUGUUGAAAUUGUUUUUAUAUCCUGUAAUGAGACCAUUGUGAAUAAUGUGCAUAAAAGUUUAUUCCUAGACAUUAAUUUCUCUCUUUCUUGUUUGUCCUCCU
rnacentral:misc_RNA from 1 species